CCGGUGCUCCCGUCUAUCUGGCCGCCGUCCUUGAAUAUCUGGCCGCUGAGGUAAUUUCUCAUCUACAUCUAAUUUGGUUUUGAUUAAAGUUUUUCAUCUGAUAGAUCUAGGGUUUCGAAAUUUGAUUCGGUUGAUUUGUCCUUUUUUGCCUGCAUGUUCAAUUCUAUCAAUUGAAUCGACAAUAAUUAAUUUUUGAUUUCUUUUACGAUUGAACGAUUUUGGUGUGUCUGAUUUUCAGGUUCUUGAGUUAGCUGGGAAUGCUGCCAGAGAUAACAAGAAGACCCGAAUUGUGCCUCGUCAUAUUCAAUUGGCUGUGAGGAAUGAUGAAGAGUUGAGCAAGCUUCUUGGGGAUGUCACCAUAGCUAACGGUGGUGUUAUGCCCAACAUUCACAAUCUUUUGCUUCCAAAGAAGGCUGGUGGCUCAUCCAAGGGUGCUGGUGCUGACGAUGACUCCUAAGUAUUGGGAUUUAAUUUUUGUGAACUGAGGCUGAAAUUAGAUUCUCCAUUGUCUUACUGUUUUGUAGUUCUUGAUCUUUGUGUUCUGUAGUUUUAGUUAGUUUCUCAGGUAGUGAUUAUGUGAAUAGCGGAAGCUCUUACUGUUCAAGAAAGAUUGUUGGAAAUUUAAAUCAUUUGACAUCAUCUUCCAAUCUCGAUCUAGUCGUAGAUAACAUCUGAUAACAUCUGUUUGUGCAGAAUUUGAUCAUGAAUAUUAUUAUCGUGUUUUCUGUUGAAGGAAUUACUCUUGAAAUUUUUGUGGGUUUGUUUGUUUUUUUUUUUCUUCAGAGUUGGUUCUUGCUUCAACACUAAAUAAUUUCUGUCGGAGUGAAAUCUAGUAGUGUGUUUAUUAACUGUUUGACUUGUUUCUCUAGUUCUACUAGUUGUAUUAUCAGGUGAACAAUGUUUGGGUUGAUAAGUAUGAACCCGUUGGAGUUAAUUUCAAUGAUUUUUGAUAAAGCAAUUAUGUUUUAGAAUCUAGCACUAUGGUGUUUUUGAAAUCUUAUGGUGGAAAGAGCGAAAUAGAACCUGUUUAUUGUGGUGGAUGCACUAAUUUUUUUAGUCAUUUUCUUGGUUGCUUCCUCUGUGAUGUUUUGAAUAGGCUAUAGUAGAAAGUUUGAUUAAUUCCCUUCAAUUCGUGUUUGGAAUUUAACUGAACAGAAAAUCAAAGCAUUUGAAGUUUAGACUUUACUGGAACAGGUAAUUAAAAAGAGGCUUGGGUUGUUUUGCCUGUUGAAAGUUUUGUAUUGUUGAAAUAUUCUGAAAUGCUUAGUUCUUAAAGUGCACGAGGUGUUAUAUAAUCCUUUUAUGCUUUUGAGAUUUAAUAGAAUUUUGUAGCCUAUGCCUUAACAUUGUAAUUCUUUGUUAUUUCUUUUGGUUUCAUAGGAUUAGAAUAAAUUUGCUUUUUCUUAUGCAGGACUCAUUUCUGAAUCUCUCUUAUAAAUAUCCUAUGAGAUGCUGAAUGCUGAAUAGAAAAUUGUUGUGUGAAAUGCGGAAUAGAAAAUUGUUGUGAGAUGCUAAGGACCUUCUGCAGAGAAAUUAUAUUUACAUCAUUAAAAAUUCAAUAAUAUUAAGUAAUGGAAUAAAAAAAUACGAUUUUAUGUAAGGUUGUGUUUGGAAAACAAGUAAAAAUAAUAUAAUGAUAUUAACUUUUUAAACAAUAUAUGGAGUAGAGAGCAUUAUUACAAUGAACCAGGUUAUUGUCCGGUCCAGUGCUUAUGGUGUUUCUUCUUAUAUAUCCAUGGGCUUUUGUCAACAUUUUUAUUAUAUUAAGAUAUAUACAAUUUUAUUACUAGUAAUUAAUCAAAAAAUAUAUAAUUUACUAACUAAUAUUUCUAAACAGACCUAUAAUACAAUACUUUUACAAUAAACUACUUUUCAAAUCUAAUUUUUAAUAAAACAUUUUUUGGUUUAGAAUGUAAGUAAGUUUUGAGUUUAUCUUCAACUAGAAUGAUUUUUUUUAGGUAUUUCAACUGCAUACAUUAUACUUAAAUUAAUUUUCUAUUGGGGUAUACUAUGUCAUAAGAAUAAAGUUCUUUUCUAUCUUAAUAUCUUUGAUUGUUAGCAAAUAAAAAGUUUAUUGACAAUAUAAUAAGAUUUAUAAAAUCAUUAUAUUAAAAUGAGAUGUUAAGAGAUCUUAAAAAUAAUAUUGAAGUAAUUUCUGUAAAUUAAGGCUUCAUAAUAACUUUUGCAAUCAAGAUCACCCUAUAUAUUCAACCAAGACAAAAUCUUACUAUAAUAAUUUAUUUAAAUAAAUAUAGAAAUCUUCAUCAAUAAUAUAGUAUUUUACACUAAUAUUACAUUCUUUUCAUUUUCAAAGGAUAAUUUUAGAAUAAAUAUUAUCAAAACAUGUUUUAUUUAUAUAUCAUAUAUAUAUAUAUUUAUAUUUUUAAGUAAAUAUAUAUUUAUAUGUAAAUUAAUUCGAUAUCGGUGAAGAGUAAAAAUAUCAUUGACGAAAAAGUAACCAAUGUUGUUUUAAAUAUUAGAAAUCAUACAAACAAAAUGUUUUAAAAGUUUAGAAAGUUAGAGGGAGAGAGACAGUGCAGUACUUUGAAUAAGAUGAAACUGAAGUCAAUAUUUUCUUAGAAAUAUUAAAUGUUUUGAAUAACUUUUAAAUUAUACAUAAAAAAUGUGGUGCAAAAAGAAAAGAGAAAAAUUUAUUUUGAUUUUAAUUAUUAGUUUAUAUUGUAAUAUCAAAUAGGAAAGGACUCUUUGUCAUUAAAAACAUAAUUAUUGUACUUUUUUUUUAUUUUACUAUGGUUAAUUAUGGUUUAGUUAUUUUUAAAAUGUUUUAUAUUAUAUGUUUUUGAUUGAAUUUGUUGACUAUUUUACAAAUGACGCAUGUUGGUAAACAGGUAUUUGAAAAUAUGUUUGCUUUUGAGAAUUUUUCUUAAACGGAUUUUAUCUAAUAUUCUUUUCCUUAUUCUUUUGUUUAAAUUUUGAAAGAAUGAUUUUCUGUGUAUUUUUCUCACUUACUAUUUUGAAUUUUAGAAAUGAGACAUUAGUGUGUUUUAUUUAAGAAAUAAAAAGAUUUAAUUUUUAAUUUGAACAUUAUAAGAAAAGUUGAAUUAAUUUUCUUAUUUAAAAACUAUAUUUAUUUAAAAAUUAUAUUAGGUUUUAAGGUGAAUAUUUAAUUAUGAUCGAAAAUUACAAAAGAAAAUAAAAUAUUCAAAAUUAAAUCAAUCCAAAAAUUAUAUAUUUUAAAAUCACUUUAAAUACUCAUAAAUCAAUUAAAAUUUAUUGAUUGAUGAAUUUUAGAUAUUUUAUUCGUUUCUUAAUUAAUUAGUUUAAUUCAAAUUUUAUAUUAAUUUUUUAAGAAAACCAAAUUAAACUACUUAUUACAUUAAACUAUCAUAUUAUACAUUUAACUAAAAAUAUAUUUAUUAACAUUUGUUUUUAUAUUUUAUUUUAUUUUAUUUUAUCUAUAAUUUUCAAAACACGGUAACAAAACAAUGUAGAUAUUAUAGUUUCUAAUGGUAAGAUAAGUAAUUUAUCUAUCAAAUUAAAAUUGUAUAUAUGAAGUAAUUAUAAGAGAACAUACUAUGUUUUCAUUUUAGAGUUUAAGAAAAAUAAUAAUUUGGUGGUUAUAAAAUUGUUAAUUGCAAUUUUUAAACUAAAUUAUUACGAAAACAACAUAUGACAGUACGAUCAUAUAAUAGACCAAACUCUUAUUCAUCAUAUAUUUUUUUACAAUUAGCAAUUAAUGUUUAUAAUAAAUUCAGCAUUUAAAUAUUUUAUUAUAAAUUAUAAUAAAAUUAAUAUGUAUAAAGUGUCAACACAAAUCAUUGGAAUUUAUCUUUAUAAUAAUGAAUUAUAUAUAUACUACAUUAUUUUUUUUACACUAAAACUCAAAAUUACGUAUUAUAUUUUACAUUUUUUAAAUUGAUAUUUAUGUUUAUUUAUAUUUAUUAAAAUAAACUAUAAAUUUAUAUUAUAAUAUUUUAAUUUUUUAAAAUAUUAUAAUAAACUUUAUUUUAAUAUAAAAAAAUUAUAUUGAUCAAAUCACAUACAAUAUCCAAUAAAAUAAUUAUUUAUAUUUUUAAAAAUUAGUAAAUAUAUCUUCAAUAUUUGUCAAAUGAUAAUAUAUUAGUAUAUUUUAAAAAAUUAUAUAUAUUCUCAUAUAUAUUUAUAUUUAUUAAAAUAAAUUAUAAAUUUAUAUUAAUUAUAAUUAUGAGAAUUAUAAUAUUAUUUAUUUUAUUUUUAAAUUUAAAUAUAAUUAUAUAAAUAAAAAAUAAAAAAUAGGAAUACAUAUAUUUUUUUAGUUAUUUGUAGAAAAGUUUUUUUUCAAUUACUAAUAGAAAAGUUAAUGUAUAUCUCUUGUUACACCCAAAAAUAUAUAUAACUAUUACAAUACAAAUUUUACUGAUUUUUAUUAGAGGGUGUAGGUAUCAUUUUAACUUAUUUUUAUCCCUUUAAGAAAGCAAUUUGACCUAGUUUCUAGAAGGACAAGUAUAUGAUGCGGGUUUGACUUAAGGCUACCUAUUGUUUUCCAUCCUACUCCUCUUGCUUGUUUUUCAAGGCUCCUUUACCUAUAAAUAGGAGGCCUACUCAUUGUAUUUUACAUGUUGAAAUUGAAUAGAAAAAUUACUUUACACAAAUAUUGUGAGAGCUUGGGUGAGUAUUGUCUCCUCUUCCUUUUGGUCUUAUCUUGAUGAGAAUGAAACUCUCAAGUGACGGCCUAACACUUAUCUUGGUGGUUUCCACCCAUCAAGCGGCGUGACCACCCACCACCAUCUCCAUAAGUUUCUUCUUCCAUUUCCUUCAUGUUCCCUUUCCAUUAAUGUUUUAAUGUUUCCUAGUUUUCUUCUUUAUUUCGGCAAUUACAUACAUGUCACCAUACAAUGUCUUUUUAUAUUUGCCUUUGUGAAAUGCACCUUCACACCUACUUAACCAUUUGGUUAAGUUAGUGCCCAGUGGAAAAUUUCCUAAUGUCAUCACCAUUAACUCCAAAAUUUUCAAUCUUAAAGUAAAGUGUCACCAAAAUGAAAACAUCUAAAAAUUAACUCACAUCAAUACUCCUCCAUGAAUCUUACUUUGAAACUCUCUCAUGUGACAACUUCUUCUCUGUCCUCCAUCAUCUGCUUCAUACCUAUCCACCAAAACUCAGCUUCUUCAAUAAGCAUAUAGAUGGCAUAAGAUAACUUUCUCUUUUAAGGGCAUUAAGUAGCUUCAAAGAUUCUUUCUAUGUCUCUCACCCACUGAUUUGCUUCAUAUGGAUUUACCUUCCCAUUAAAUUUGGGUGGAUAGUGUCUCGGAAAGUCCUCCAGACUAAAGAUAUGUGGUUGUUGAUGAAGCUCAUACUCUUUUACUGCUAAUCUAGCAGUUUCUAAUUGAUGAAGGGCGGCCUAAUGCUGGUGUGCCAUAAUAGCACUUUGUUGUUGCAAGGUUGUUGCCAUCAUCUCUAUUGCUCGAGUUAAGUUGGGCAUAUCUAUUGAUGGAAAAGGAGUAGGUGGUCUACGUGCCAUCUUCUAAGCACAUAAAGAUUUGGAUUAGAAAUUACCAAAAAAUUUCAACUAAAUCUUUAAGACAAAUUAACUUCAAAGAAAUAAUCACACAAGACAGGUAAAAACCAAUUACGACUUAUCUCUAAAAUGUAUUCUAAUUAUUUAGAAUUAAGAUAAAAAAUAAUCUUGAUCCAAUCAUGAGUGUGCACCUUCACCACUCUAUCAAGAUUCUUUUCAUUCUUAAUACUUUCAACUUUUUUUAGAACAACUAGUUUGACUCAAGCAAAAACAAGAUUUCAAGAAAACAACUUUGUUAAACAUCCUAUCAGAAAAUUUUAACUAAGUCUUGAAGCUAGACUUAAAAGAAAUCUAAACGUAGGAGAAACACAAUAAACCCACUACCCUUAUGUUAUCCUAAGGAUAAUCCGCUCUGAUACAUUAAAUAUAACACCUCAAAAAAUACAUCUAACUAUUACAAUACAAGUUCUACUGGUUUCUAUGCAAACUUUGAGUAUUUCAAAACAUUUCCAUUACAAGAUUAUGACUUAUAAAAAUACCAACAUUUACAAUAUAAGGUUUAAAACAUCCUAAAGUUUUUGGGGACCUCCUACACCUGUAUGAUCAUCUACUCGUGUACACAGUACAAUUAUCGCAGUUCACAACACAACAAGAAAAACAAGGGUAAGCCAGUAAAAUAUAGAUUUUAUAAUAUGCACAAAUAAAUCAAAAGAGAAAACCAAAUUACAUGAAUCAAUUUCAGAAUUAUUCAAUCUUCUUCAAAUCCCAACAUAAAACAAUCAAUAGAUCUCACGUGGAUCUACACAUCCAGAAUAUUCAACAAACAUAAUAACAACUAAAGGCUUCUAGAAGACCUGUAUUAAGUAAGUCCUACCAGAGACUAACACAUGAUCCAAAGAUUACCAACAAAUCCAACAAAAAGGAUCAAUGUAAGUUCAAUACAACCCAAGUCGUGCAUCUCAUAUGUCACAAUGUGCAUGAACUCUCCCAUCAACUUCUCAUUCUCACCACCUGAUAUCUUAGUCUAUGUGAUUUAGAUCAUCAGUGAAGCUCGAAGAUUUCUAUUACCAUAUAGGCAUCAAUACUUAAUACACAUACAAACAUCAAUCCAUACAUUAUCCUAAAUGUAUGAAUUCAAUUCCAUACCAUUUUCAUCAUACAAUAUCAUUCAAAACACGAUCCACUACAUUCAACAGUCAUAAAAAAACAACACUUAAAUACUAAACCAUCAAAAUCUAAUAUUUCUAUAAGUUUAAAUAAUAUAUAAACAAACAACACAAUAUAUAAAACACUCAACAUCCAUGCAAGAGAAAUUGAAUAUUUGGACCAUGUUCCCUCUACAUCCAGAUCUUCUAGCCUAGGGUGCUAUUAAAAAUGAAAUUUAUCUUCCCUUACCUUAGUUGCUUGCUUUCCAAGCAACCUCUAAAAUUUUAUCCUUCUAGUAUGGAUAAGUUUCAAGAUUUAAGGGCCUAAUGCAAGUUAUCCAAACAAAACAGAAAUUCAGUAUAUAGUAGAAUAAGUUGAGAUGAUUACUCUUCUCAACUGAUCCCACAAAGAUUGAUGACUAAAUUGUAAAGAAAAACAGAGAACAAAGAUCUUUAAAGCAAAAAUGAACUUACUCUGAUUGAAAAUUUAAUCGGGUAAAAAUGUUCCUUAACUCCUCAGUUACGAUGUGAUCUGAUCAAAUUCUAAACUAUAUGAAAAUUGGAGUAGAUAAUUAAGAGAGAAGGAAGAGAAGAGAAGUUGUGAGAAAGAGAAAAAGGAAAAGAACGUAAUUGGGAUUUGUAAUUUUUUUGUUUGGUUGUUACAUUUAUUACCUAAUAUAUAUUUAAAAAAUACAUAUACAUAAACUUUGUAUUCGUAAUUUUUAUUUUUAUGAUAAUUUUUUGUUUAUCUACUUUUUUAAAAUAUAGCAAAAUAAUCAUUUGUUUAAUUUUUAAUAUUAAAUAUACUUAUAUAUAAAUAAUAAUAAAUUAUUGUUUCUUAUAGUAUAUUAAUUAUGAGAAUAACUUAUCAGUUACUCAUUAUUAAAAACAUAUGUUAAAUGAAACUAUCUUUUAAGAGCGUGUAUAACGACGAAGAAGCGUAGACAUAUUAUGCACAACGAAACAAAAUAGAAAAGCGCCUAAAAUAAAAUUGAAUAAACAUGAAAAUAAAAGAAAUUAUUCUAAACUUUUCGUGGCAAGAAAAAGUUAAAUAUAUAAUUGAUUAUUAAUAAAAUUAUAUAUAUAUAUAUAUAUAUAUAUAUAUAUAUAUAUAUAUAUAUAUUGUAGAGCGCGCACCCCCAACGACCGAGGACAUGAAUUAAUAAUACAACAUAAUAAAUAUGUGACAAGAAAGCAGUUACAACUAAUUUUGAAUGAGUUAAAGACACACUUCGAAACGUACUCCCGUAAUAUCAGGAAGCCACUACACACGACCUGAGGAUCACUACACAUGUCUUGGCAAACUGGUUAUCUGGCCCACACGAGUAGAGGCCCAAGUCAACCUAUAAAGGAGACUUCUGACGGGGGAAAAUGUACGUUUUUCAUAUCCUGAGAGAACAAAUAAAACACUAGCACUGACUUGAGCGUCGGAGUGCAAUCGCAGGUACCCCCACCAACCGGCGGAGCACAUGCGUAGGAGAGGAAGAGCUUCGAAGGAUUUGGAGGCUACCAGCACGACAACGAAUUGUGUACCAAGUGGACAAGCAUUACUUAGGCCCCGACAUCCAUACAGGUACAAUUGGCGCCCACCGUGGGGCCCGAUUAAUUUUUAGCUUUCAGUCUCAAGGACUUCAACCAGCAGCGAUGGUAUCCACAGUGAAUAACGCGAACAAUGACAACACGACAGAGAAUCAAAUGGUGAUGUUGCAAGCCCUUCAAGCCCAGAUGCAGGAGUUGUUGUAGAAAGGAACUGCAAAUCAGUUGCGUCAUGAAGAGGAUCGACGUAAGCAAGAAGAAGAACGGCGUCGACAGAUAGAGGAAAUGGCUCAAUUAAAGGAGCAGAACAAAAGACUACUUCAGCGACUUGAAGAGUCCGAACGGGAAGGGCAUUCCCUUGCACCGACACCACAGACGCAUCAAUCCGGGUCGAAGCCACCAACACCCCAAACUCAGUUGGUGCAUCACACUUCUCUUACGCAUCACACACACCAAAGCGUUAAAUACACCUCUCUCGGCAGAGUAGCAAAUCCAAGGGGUCAUCCUUUCACGGAUGACAUCAUUGCUACACCCCUUCCCGACAAGUGGAGGGGCUUAACGAUGAACCUUUAUGAUGGCUCCAUCGAUCCAGAUGAACACUUGAAUAUUUUUAGGACGCAAAUGACCUUAUACACCAUGGAUCAAACAGUGUGGUGUAAGGUUUUUUCCACCUCACUGAGGGAAGGGCCACUGGGAUGGUUUACCAAGCUCCCACAGAAUUCUAUGGCUAGUUUCGACAUUUUAGAAACAAAGUUUACCAUCGAGUAUGCUACAAGUAGACCCCAUCGUACGUCUUCAAUGUCUCUCUUCAACGUCAAACAAGAAAAAGGAGAAUCGUUGAGGGCUUUUAUGGAUAGAUUCAACAAGGUUUGCAUGGGAAUCAGGAAUUUGAAUCCUUACAUAGCAAUGCACCAUUUAGUCUCGGCCAUACUGCUAGGUCGGUUCACAUAGAGCCUUAUAAAACGACAACCAUACAACAUGGACGAAUUAAGAACAAGAGCAACCAAAUUCAUGCAAAUAGAAGAACACAUUGACUAUCACCAGAAAACGUUGGCAGAAGCUUCUGAAAAAGAAAGAGAGAAAAAUAGGGGUAUCCGUCCUCCCGCAAUGGGGACCGACCGAGACCAGUAUCGUCCGAACAGAGGUCCUCGUCUCCAUAACUUCACUCCUCUGACGGUGCCUAGAGGGAGGAUUCUGGAUGAAGCCUUACAAGCUGAACUCAUCCCAGCGCUCAAACAAGCGCAAACACCACCCAAUGCAGAUACGACUAAGCGUAGUCAAUAUCACCGCAAUUACAGCCACACGACCGAAGGCUGCUAGGCAUUAAAAGAUAAAAUAGAAAAACUCGUUCUAGCCGGCCAUCUCCACAAAUUCGUUAGAACUUCUGCCGCUGUGCCACGGUCACCCUAACAUGACGUCGACUAUCCCAGAGAUAAGGAAUGCCCUGGAUGAAGGGAUAACCGAAAUCGUGAUGGUUAUCGUCGCACCACUCGGCAGAAACGAAGUGAAAGUCCGAUCAAGCGGACCCAACCACGAAGUGAGAGCCCUGACCGGAGAAGUCGAACCAAACAAAGGGUUCGUGAAGUUAUUAACACCAUUGUUGGCCCAGUUUCACUUGGAGUACCACCUCAGGAGGUUAAUUACAUAACAGGUGGCUUCCCGGGCGGUGGAUGUUCUAACUCUACGAGGAAGAAGCAUCCGAGGGUGAUUCAGUCCAUCCAUUCAACUUCUACACAUAAACGCCUAUAUAUACCUCCAAUUACCUUUACUGACGAUGACUUCACCGUGAUCGACCCCGCUCAGGAUGACCCCAUGGUCAUUACGGUAGAAAUAGACAAAUUUUCAAUCGCUAAAGUUCUGGUAGAUCUAGGUAGUUCGGUCGACAUCCUCUAUUGGGAAACAUUUAAAAAGAUGCGAAUUUCGGAGGCAGAAAUACAACCUUACGAUGAACAGAUAGUUGGAUUUUCAGGGGAACGAGUAGACACCAAGGGAUACAUUGACUUAUUCACCACCUUUGGUGACGAUUCUCUCAGAAAAACAGUUAAUAUCUGAUAUUUGUUGGUUAAUGCCAAUACAUCUUAUAAUAUACUACUCGGAUGUCCUUCCAUAAACAGGUUAAAAGCUAUUAUUUCUACUCCUCAUAUGGCCAUGAAGUUUCCCUCCAUUAAUGGAGACAUCGCCACCGUGCAUGUUGAUCAGAAGAUUGCGCGAGAAUGUUAUGUAGCGAGCCUGAAGGUUGAGCCAACUAGACGAUUGAAUACCACAACGAACGACCGAUCUCUGAGCAGAAGGGGGAGGUCCCAGAGAGGCGUUCCAGGGGAAGAGGCUCUAGAAGGCACGUAGUUGCUCUUGUAGACCUAGACCCGCGAUUGGAUGACCCUCGGAUGGAGGCCGGAUAAGAUCUUCAGCCCAUAUUCCUUCGCGAAAAAGAUCGUAAGACAUACAUGGGAACAUCCCCAAAGUUGGACGACCGGGAGAUGGUGGGUAAAACAUUGUUAAGAAAUGCCGACCUUUUUGCUUGGACUGCUGCAGACAUGCCUGGGGUAAAACCUGAUGUUAUUACUCAUCGUCUAUCCGUAUACAAGGAAGCUAGGCCAAUCACCCAGAAGAAAAGGAAGUUAGGGGAAGAAAGGCGUAAGGUCGCCUGAGAAGAAACCGAUAAGUUGGUUCAAGCUGGUUUCAUCCAGAAGGCUCACUACACAUGGUUAACCAACGUAGUAAUGGUUAAAAAGUCAAAUGGUAAAUGACGAAUGGUAAAUGACGAAUGUGUGUAGACUAUACAGACCUCAAAAAAGCAUGUCCAAAAGACUCGUAUCCCCUGCCGACUAUUGAUCGACUGGUUGACAGAGCAGCUGACCACCAGAUCCUAAGUUUUCUUGAUGCAUACUCAGGUUAUAACCAAAUCUAGAUGCACCUCGAGACAAAGAGAAAACGGCUUUUAUGACAGACUCUAAUAACUUCUAUUACGAGGUCAUACCGUUUGGCCUCAAGAACGCCGAAGCUACUUAUCGGCGUUUGAUGGACUACGUCUUUCAUGACAUGAUCGGAAGGAAUGUCGAGGUAUAUGUUGACGACAUUGUUGUUAAAUCUGACUCAUGUGGGCAGCAUGUUUCGGAUCUGAAAGAGGUUUUUCAAGCUCUACGCAAAUACCGCAUGCAUUUGAAUCCUGAUAAAUGCGCGUUCGGCGUAGAAGGAGGGAAGUUCUUGGGCUUCAUGCUCACCCAUAAAGGCAUAGAAGCAAAUCCUGAUAAAUGUAAAGCCAUUACGGAGAUGCGAAGUCCCAACAACCUUAAAGAGAUCCAACAACUGGUUGCCCGACUCACUUCCCUGUCGCGGUUCGUACCUAAACUUGCCGAACAAACGAGACCCAUUAUCCAAUUGUUAAAGAAGACAUCCAUGUUUGAAUGGACCGCUGAGUGCGAGGAGAAUUUUCUUCAGUUGCAGGCAUUUCUGGCUUCCCAGCCAGUUAUACAAAAGUCGAACACACGAGAGCCCAUCAUAGUUUAUCUUGUUGUUUCGAACGAAGCGAUAAGCUCGGUCUUGGUACAAGAAAUAGAUGCAGAGGAGCGCCCGGUGUAUUUUAUUAGUCGAGUACUACAUGGUGCGGAAGUCAGGUAUCAAAUGGUAGGAAAGGUCGCAUUGGUCUUAGUCAUAACCGCACGGCGAAUGCAGAUGUAUUUCCAAAACCAUCGGGUCAUAGUUAAGAUUAAUUACCCCAUUAUGAAGAUCCUUACUAAGCCGAAUUUGGUUGGACGAAUGAUAGGAUGGGCAAUCGAGUUUUCAGAAUUUCACAUUCAAUAUUAGCCCAAGGGGGCAAUUAAAUCUCAAGCCCUCAUCGAUUUCACAGCAGAACUAACUCCACAAUCGAUAUAUGGAGAAGGUUCAUAGUGGAUUUUAUAUGUAGAUGGCUCUUCGAACAAUCGGUUGUGCGGUGCGAGAGUAUUGUUGGAGGGAGCAGGUGAAAUUGUCGUUGAACAAGCCCUGAAAUUUGAGGCCAAGUAUGAGGCCAUCAUAGCCGGCCUUUACCUGGCCAACGAAUUAGAAGUAACCAGGUUAACUUGCAACAGCGAUUCACGAUUGGUGGUCGAACAACUUAGAGAGGAGUACGAGGUAAGGGAAACUUUACUUCAACAAUAUUUUCAUUUCAUUCGAAAUCUUUUAACCAAGUUUGAAUAAGUAUCGUUCCAAAGAGUUCGACGAGAAAAUAACACUGGUGCGGACGCCCUAUCGCGGUUGGCCACCACCAAGAAAAAAGGAGUUCACCAGUCAGUCAUACACGUCACGUUGACCAAGCCUAGUGUUGGCACAGGGGAAUGUAUGGCGACUGAUAUUAAACCAAAUUGGAUGACUCCCAUCAAACAAUACUUGACAGAUGAAAUAUGUGACCCACACUUAGAAAAAACAAUGAGAUAACAGGUCGCCCGGUUCAUACUAAUCAACUAGGGCCUUUAUAGGCGAGGAUACACUCGUCCACUCUUAAAGUGUCUUACUCCCGAGCAAGUCACUUAUGUGAUGACCGAGUUGCACGAGGGGAUAUGCGAAACUCACUCUGGAGCGCGAACCAUAACUGCCAAGGUGUUACGGGUCGGGUACUAUUGGCCGACCGUGCAAGGGGAUUGCACAAGGUUCGUUCGGAAAUUCUUAAAGUGCCAAGAGUAUGGCACCUUAUCACACCAGAAGCCCGAGAAUCUACAUUACAUCUUGUCUCUAUGGCCAUUCGUAAAGUGGGGAAUGGAUAUAAUUGGACCCUUUGCACUUGGCAAGGGGCAAUGUAAAUUCCUGCUGGUCGGCAUCGAUUACUUCACUAAGUGGAUCGAGGCUGAACCCUUGACAGCCUUAACUGCCCGAAAUGUUCAAAAUUUCGUGUGGAAGAAUAUUGUUUGUCGAUUCGGUCUACCCCAGGUUAUUAUUACCGAUAACGGUAAAAAAUUCACCGAUCGAGGGUUAGCGAAGUUCUACGAGAAACUCAACAAUAAACACAUUACAAGCUCGGUCGAGCAUCCACAAACCAACAGCCAAGCAGAGGCCGCCAAUAAGGUCAUCCUCAACGAGCUUAAAAGGAGACUUGGUCCAACGAAGGGAAAUUGGACUAAAGAACUUCUGGAGGUUCUAUGGGCCUACCAGUGUACCCCACAAUCCACAACUCAAGAGACACCCUACAGUCUGACGUACGACACUGAAGCCAUGAUUCCGGUCGAGAUAGGCGAACCUUCAUUACAACGACAAACGUUGGACUUAGACCUAAAUAAGGAAAGCUUGUUGGUCGGCCUUGACCUGAUCAACAAGCUAAGAGAUAAGUGUAGAAUAUGAGAAGAAGCAUGUAAAAUGCGUGUAGCAAGGCGAUACAACACGAAGGUAAAGCCACAAAGCUUCCAGAAAAGAGAUUUAGUCUAACGCAUGCGUAGUGAUGCCCGGAAGGAUGGCGGCAAAUUUUCAAGUAAUUGGAAAGGUCCAUUACGCAUUACCGACACAGCGGCCGGAGGAGCAUAUCAUUUACAAUAUUUAUCAAGAAUGUAUGUACCGAUAACGUGGAAGGUCACGCAUCUCAAAUUUUAUUACAACUGAUGAAUAAACACUAUUGUACUCUUUCCUCGCUCGAUUGUUUUAUCCCUAAGGAGGGUUUUUGGCCAAGAAGGUUUUAACGAGGCACUUUAAAAGUCAUUUAUCAAAAGCAUAUGCGGUUAAUCGUUAUAUACCAAAAUCUUGGUCAGAAAUUCAUAACUUAAAAGGUUAUUUACCAAGUCGUUCGGUCAAUACCUAGUAACUUAAUCGUUAUGUACCAAAAUCUUGGCCAGAAAUUAAUAACUUAAAAUGUUAUUCACCGAGUCGUUCGGUCAGUACCUAAUAACUUUAUCGUUAUGUACCAAAAUCUUGGUCAGAAGUUAAUAACUUAAAUGUUAUUCACCGACACGUUCGGUCAGUGCCCAAUAACUUAAUCGUUAUAUACCAAAAUCAUUGGUCAGAAACUAAUAAUUUAAUUACUAGUUACAGAGGCAUUUAAUCAUCAAUUAAUAACUUAUCGUUAUUUACCAAAUCUUUAGUUUAAAACUUAAUAACUUGUUAUUCACCGAGUCGUUCGGUCAGUACCUAACAAAUUAAUCAUUACUUACCAAAAUCUUGGUCAGAGGUUAACUCAAAUAUUAUUCACCUAGUCGCUCGGUCGGAAAUUAAUAGCUUAUCAUGGCACCACCCAUUCGAUUGGGUAUUAACAAGAGAAUGUUGAACCAAGUGGUGUUCAAGCUUUGAAGAAUCCAAACCCUUUGAAGGAUGAUGAAGCCUUUGAUGUGCUUGGUGUUGCUGUGCUGGUUUAGUAUAGUUCUAGGGUAGUUUGAGUAUUGUAAUCCACCCAUUGAUCGAAUCUAAAGCAUAAGUAUCUCAAUCUUUGUGAAAGUAAAAUGUUUUCAAACUAAGUUAAAACAACCGAUUGUUUUGUCGAAACAACCGAUUGUUUAUACUUAGAUGUUUUGAGAAAAAGAUUGAAAACUGUUUUUAAAAUGGUUGAACUGUUAAGAACCAAAACAACCGAUUGAUUCGAAGAAACAACCGAUUGUUUAUUUUGGGACCAUAACAGAAAAACUGUUUUAUCUUUGACUAAGCAUUAAAUGAUUUAACUGAUUACGCUCCAGUCAUUAAAUGCUUUGACCAAUCUUUUAAUGCAAUUUAAGAGUUUGUUAAGAUUUGAUAACAAACUACAUCUUUGAAUAAAUUCAAAAAAACAGAUUUGAGAAUUAAUCUUUGACAAGUUUUUGCUAAGAGUUUUUGAGUUUUUUCAAAGAGCUGAGAUUGCUGAAAGUUUGUGAUUGAUCAAAGUUGUGGAAUAGGAUUCUGCUUGUAUUGAUUUCAGAUUAUCAUCUGUAACAAGUUUAAUCCUUGUACUCUGUGAAACAAGUUUCGUUUCUGUGUUUGCUGAGAUUGGUUGUGUGUUCUUGAGGGGAUCAAGAUCAGCAAUCUUGGUGUUGGUGUGUUGGCCAAGGAGAGUGUGUGUCUUGAGGUGUUCAAGGUCAUUCUCUGGGUUGUUGUGUAAGUGAUCAAGUUGUGAUUGCUUGGUGGAUUUCCUCAGGGUUUCUGAGAAGACUGGAUGUAGCUCUGGGUUUGGAGUGAACCAAUAUAAACAUCAGUGUGCAAUCUCUCUAUCUCUAUCUCUUUAAAUUCAGUUUUGUUAUUUGAUAACUGGUAUAAACAACCGAUUGUUUCAGUAAAACAACCGAUUGUUUUUCCAGUGUUGUGCCUUUGCUUUAUGUUUUGAAAAACUGAUUUCUUAAUCAAGGUUUUCUUGAAGUAUUUUCAUUCUAGGCUUAAAAGUUUACGAAAAUCUCUCUUAAACAAUUCACCCCUCCCUUUCGUUGAAGGCCAUAUAUUCUAACAAUUGGCAUCAAGAGCUUGGUUCUUGAAAGUUAUUCAAGUUGAUCUAAAAUCCUUUUUUCUAUGGCUGGAAAACUAUCUUUUGAGGAAGGUGUUUCAAUCUACAAACCAACUUUAUUCUGUGGAUUGAAUUAUAAGUUUUGGGAAGCAAGAAUGAAAAUCUUUAUUUGAAGAAAGAAACGAAUACACCUGAUAGAGAAUGCAGAAAUCUGCCUUAGACCAGUAGAACAGAUUGCUCACACAGUGACAACACCUCUAACCAAGCCUUAGAAGCAACCAAGAACAAGCACACUUUGUGAUUUGGAAAAUCUUUCAAGAACACAUUCUAAUCCUCUGAAAAUUCUUAUUUCUCUGUUGUAAAACUUGUUUUCUCAAUUGUAUGAUCAACGUUUAAUCCCAGGAACAAACUCUUUUUUUAUAGGAAAACAUUUUAUAACUAACUUUCAAAAAAUAGUUAAAGUUGUUACAAAAAGAAUAGAUUGAAAUUAAAAUGAACUGAUUUAUUUUCAAAAGCUGUUAGAGAAUUAGUUAUAUGUAGAAGACUUAGUCAAACACCCUAGUGUAAGGAUAAACCGUGAAAAGCCUUUUAAGAGAACCAAGGCACCAGACUUAAAAAGAAUCUAUUCAUUUAUAGAAGAACAGAUUCAUUUUCAAAACGAUAACAGAAACUUUUUAACAAAUAAAACACAGUCGUUUUGAUGGAACGAAGACUUAGUCAAAACACUUGAUGCACAAAACAUGAUUUUUCAAAAACAUUUAAUAAAGGCAUCAGUUUAAGAAAAGAAUCUAUUCAUUUAGAAAAGAACAGAUUUAUUUUCUAUGCAGUAAAGGAUAUUUUUGCAAAAACAUGUGAAAAACAGUUUCAUAAAACUUGUGCUUGCUCUUAUCACAUGGUCAGGGAUUAAGAGGUGAGUUACCCAGCAAAAAGCCUACUCUAAACAACCUCUAAACUAUACCUAAAACAUUCUUAAAGCAAAUGUAAAUACUAAGGAAAUUUACACAAAUGGCUUCAUCAAACACAUGUCUUGAAGGGGCACCAACCAUCUUCAACAGGAGGAACCACCGCCGGCAUGACUUCCUCCACGACAGCUUGUUCUUUUGGUAUUCCCGCGAUGCUACUGAUUUUCCGCCCGGUCGCUUGGCGCUUAAGGUUACUCAUAAACUUGCUCAGGGAGGGAUCCAUCUUCAGGGUAAUAUCUGCAAAAAUAUAUAUACGGUUAAGUCACAUUAACAUAGACGAAUCACGACCGAACACAAAAAAUCCACAUACCAUUUACAUAUGCCCACUUCUUGGACGACCCAUACAAAGCUACCAACUCUCGGGUGGGCAGCUUACAAGGCAACUGGUCAAUGACCAUUAAGAUCUCCUUGUCAAAGGGUGACAAUGACGACCACAACCAAAUACCAAGUUGGGUGGGUUUCUCCGUCCAAUGUAAUGGAAAUUUGGUCGUCCCAUCCGCAUUAUAAAAGAGGUUUCGGCCAUCCGGUUCCACGAAAAUCUUAAAAUAAUUUUCUUUGAAAUUUUUGUAUGAGGUAGUGAAGGCAGCGAAACGGACAUUCCCCGAUCGGCUAGACAACGAAAACCAACUUACAGAGGUGUUUGGAUGCGUGUUAUAGUAAUAUAAAAUCAACUCGGGGGUAGGCUCAAAUUUAAAAACGUGACAUAACACUCAGAAUGCCUGAAGAAUUGCCCACGAGUUGGGAUGCAAUCGCAUGGGUGCAACAUUGAGAAUCCGAAGUACUCCCAUAGUAAAUUUAUCAAAAGGAAUGGUAACGUGCAAGUUGGCAAAAAAAGUAUUAUAUGCAAAAAAGAAGUCAUGUGGCGCAUUUUCCCGACCGUGGCACACACGGUCGGUCACGCCACAAAUAUUCGCAGUUAUUGCCUCGGAUGGACAGUCAGGCAUAAAAAAGUUAUCAUUUUCAUAAAUAAAUUUAUCUGAAUCAUCAGAGGUCCUAACCCUAGUUGGGAUUUUGAGGACUGACGGAUCAACCCAAUCGUAGCUUGGACCGUCUGACGACUGACUCGCAUUACCAGAUGCGGUGCGAGUCACAGACGACUCGACAUUGACAACACUCUAGGAAGAUUCUACUAGGGAAUGCAUUACUAACAUUGACCGAAGAAUUUGACGCAUUAAACCCAGCACGCGCAAUUGACUCGGCACUCGGAGCAAGCAACGCAAGACUCAAGCUUAGAAAGAAAGCGUAAAACUUUUAAACUAUCAGUGAAUCACUAUUUAUAGCCAACGAAGUAGGUGAGAGAGUUCCCCAUCACUCGUCCAGCACCCUUAGAUCGAAUAUAAUCUAACGGUUAAACUCACUCGACAUUCGAAACGACACGAAAUCUCCAUCGUUGAAGGCAUCCGAUGAAACAGUGCAUCACGAAAUGGCGACUCUGUCAAAGGUCACUUCUUGUCACAUCUCUGCCAUGCAUUUAAGGUUGCCAUCUGCCAUGCAUUACCCCGAAAUCAACAGCCAUUAUAUACAACUCUUCGACAAUAAAUCUCUUUGAGCCUGGGGGGCAAGUGUACCGGUCGGACCCCGGACAACCGAGGACAUGGAUUAAUAAUACAACAUAAUAAAUACGUGGCAAGAAAGCAGUUACAACUGACGUUGAAUGAGUCAAAGACUGAUGGAGAUAAAAAAGAAGAGGAUUUUACUAAUGGAGGAAGAGGCCAUCCACCCAAACAUUUAAAGUUCUUCCUUCUAGUCUUCUCAAAAUUAAAGAAAGAAUUAAAUAAAGAGAGGAUCAAGCCCAAAGCCAACAAGAAGACUACAAGCAUUCAAGAAUGGGCUCCAAUUAAUAUCUUUCUUUGUAAUUUAUUUUGUAUAAAUUUGUAAAACAUAUAGGAGUAAUGUUUAGGAAGGUACUAAGAGGAAAACCAAAAAGACACCUGUUUUGUAAGUACCUUAGGCGUUAGUUUUUAGGAAGAAACUAGAAAGUUGUCUCUUCACACUCCUUUAGGCACUAGAAUAAAAGGAGUUGGAAGGUGACCUUUCAAAAGCUUCUCUUGUAAGCUUCUCUUGUACUUUGUGACCAAUCCUCUCUAUUAUAAAAGGGGUGCUUAGGUCUUUGAAAUAAUAAGAUUGAUUUUGUGAGUAUUGAACCUCUACCAAAUUGGUGAGUGAUUGAGAGAGACUUGUGUCUUCUUCUCUUCUAGUCUUAUCUUGAGUGAAUUCUUGGACUCUCAAGUGGCGGCAACAACACUCAUCUUGAAGCCAACCAUCCUUCAAGUGGCGUGCACAUUCCAAGGGCUUCAUCCACAUAAGUCCAUUUUCCCUUCAUUCCAAAUUACUCAUUUUUGUUCUACUUGUUUGUUUUCACUUUCAAUCGAUGCAAUCUCUUCCUUAUGAUGUCCUCUUUCAUUUGCUGCACUUAUAUUCAAUUUUAAUCAGUGCAAAUUGGUUGUUCUUGCUGUUUUGGUCACGUCCUCCAUGGGUAUAAAUGCUAUAUGUUGUGUUCUUGAGUUUCUAUCCAUGGGUUUGUUGUUCAAAAUGGGUUUCUAUGUGAGUUUGGCUUGGUUACUUGUGUUUUGGUGAGUUCUUGAAUGUUAAGAACAUUCAUCCCAUUCUUAAAAGUGCCUAAUCAUAUUCCAACUCUCGUUGAAUCCAUAACAUGUUCAUAUCAUAUCCAUAUCAUGUUAUUGGAAUCAUAUUAAAGACACAUUUCGAAACGCACUCCCGUAAUAUCAGGAAGCCACUACACACGACUUAAGGACCACUACACAUGUCUUGGCAAACUAAUUAUCUGGCCCACACGAGUAGAGGCCUAAGUCAACCUAUAAAGGAGACUUCUAAAGGGAGAAAAGGUACGUUUUUCAUAUUCUGAGAGAACAAACAAAACACUAGCACUGACUUGAGCGUCAGAGUGCAAUCGCAGGUACCCCGUCCGACCGACGGAGCACACGCGUAGGAGAGGAAGAGCUUUGAAGGAUUUGGAGGCUACCAGCACGACAACGAAUUGUGUACCAAGUGGACAAGCAUUACUUAGGCCUCGACAUCCAUGCAUAUAUAUAUAUAUAUAUAUAUAUAUAUAUAUAUAUUAAUAUUAUAUUCUUAAUGAUGUUUUUUAAAUAAAUAAUCUAAAAUACAAGUAUUAAAAUAAUAGAUAAAAUUAAAUUUAAUAUCUUUAAAGUAAUUUAUUUUAAUAUACUAUUAUUUAAAAUAUUUUUUAUUUUUUAAAUUUAUAAUAAUAUUUUAUUUUAAAUUUAAAUUUAUCUUAAUUUAAAUAUAAAUUUUUAAAAACUAUUUUUUAUAUCAAAUUUUUUUUAAAUAUAUUAAUACAAAAUAUUUAAUCAAAUAAACUAAAAAUUUCUAUAUUUAUUUCACUGAAAUUUUUUAUUUUUUUCUUUAAUGUAAAUAGUUAUACUUCCUAUCUCUUUUCUUUUCCAUUUUUUCCUGUUUUUUACUCCCUCCCUAAUUCUAAAAACGUAAUUAAAAAUACAUCAGACAAUGAUCAAGAGUAAAUGCACUUGAGUAUAAUAACAAUUUUUUUUCAAUAACUCGUUAGCCAGUAUAUUUCGAUUAAAAAUGUCGAAUUCACGAUAAAACAUUUCGUAUUUUAUUUUUUGCAUCUUAUACAGUAAUUUAAAAACAUUAAAGUUAUAAAUAUAAUGGAUAAUUGCUUUAUUUUGUCUUUCUUUAUUUUCAAAAUUAAAUGUGAAAAUAUAAUAUUUUUGUUGUUCAUAUCGAGGAAAACUAUUAUAAAUACAAAAUAACCAAUCGUGCAAAAGUUUAUCAAAACUAAAUACAAAAUAUCAAUUUAAAACACUAUUUAAUUUCAACCAAUCGUGCAAUAGUUUAUCUUAAACCUUAAUUGUUCGUUAUUUCAUUGUAAGAUGUCUUUAUCUAAAAAUGAAAUUUAUAAAUGUAAUAAAUGUAAUAAAUGAAUACAAAAUAACCAAUAAAUGAGCAAAAAGAUAUUUAUUAAAAUCAUUAAUGUCUAUUACUUUUUCUCGAUAUUUCAUAAUAAACUAAAAUUAAAAAAAUAUAAAUGAUGUAUUGAAAAUUUAGGCUUAAAUUCAUAUUUGAUUCCAAUAAUUUUACUAGUGUGUAAUUUAAGUCCUUAUAAUUUUAAUAAAAAAAUUUAUUUUUCGGUUUUUUAAUAUUAAGUACUUUUUGUUCCAUGUUUUUUAAAAAUGAAGUAAAAAUGUUAUUGCAUGUACUAAUAGACAAUCAUUAAAUAAAAAUCAAUCUUAGAGACAAAAAAUAAUUAAUUGUUAUAUAAACUAAAUUAAAUACUAUUUUGGAGAUUAAAAAAUUUAUUGAUAUCUAAAUUAGUUUUAUUAUUGAUGAAUAGUUUCUAAAUUGAUAUAUAAUUAACUAUCAAGACUUUAACUACCAAUUAUUUAGUUGAUAAAGUUGGUAGUUAAUCAAAUACCAAUUUAGAAACUAAUUUAGAUAGCAAUUAUUUUUUUAGUUUCUAAAAUACUAUAUAAUUUAGCCAAUAUAAUAACUAAUUAUUUUUUGUCUCCCCCUCUCUAUAUAUAUAUAUUUUAGCAUGAAAAUGUUUUGUUAUUAGGGAGAAUGGGAGACCCAAGUUUUAAAUGAAAAAAAUAGAAAGGCCAUAAAUAAACCAUAAGCAUUUAUUCUUUACUUUAUUAAGAAUUUCAUCUCACUAAAUAGUUUUUCUUUGAAAUCUAAGUUUAGAGAGAAUAAUUAAGAUAUUAUUAUGUUGUUAGCUUACAUAUGUGUGAGGAGGUAGAAAAUGAAGACGAUGUUAGUGUAGGGUUUGAUAAUUUGAAAAUCAAAAACUAUAUUGGAUUUUUGAAGUGAAAUAUGAAAUAUUUACUUAAUUAGAUGUGUAAAAAAUGUUAUUGUUGAUUUAUAAGCAUGUAAAAUGUAUAUCUUUAUACUUAUGAGCGAGAAUAAUUGUAAAGUAUAUAUGAAGUUAAUGUAGUGAUUAUCAAUAAGAUUGACGUAUUAGAAGGAUUUGAGUAUAAUAUGAGGUUAAACUUAAAAUUAAAUCACUUAUUGAUUGAAAAAUGAUGCUUUUUCAGUGUGAUAUCACUCAAGUGAUAGGUUACACUCAAGUGAUACUUAAGUAUGACUUAAACGAUGAGUCAUGCUUACAUUUACCAUUAAUCAAGAUGGAUUGUAACGAUAUAAUGUAUAACUCAAGUUAAGUUUUGUAACUUGGUGAUAGUGAAGUUUAAAAAACCUUUUCUCCUUUUUCGAAAGAGUUGAUGUUUAAGCAAUAAUGUUUUCACUCAUGUAUGAAACAUGAAGGUGAAACAUUAAUUUAUAAAACAUGUGAUAUACAAACAUAAUUUUAUCUACCUAUCAUUUUUGUUAUGUUUACUUUAAACCACUUUUAACCUAUGAAUUGAUUAAAAUGAUUUGAGAAUAUAAGAACAUAAAUUGUUUAAAUAUAAUUAUAUCUUUUAAAAAAAUAACAUUUUAAUAGUAAAAUGUCAAAUAAAUAAGAUAUGGAUAUUUGUUUUUGGAGUUUUUAUUUAUUUUAUCUAAAACUGAAUUGAAAGUUGGUGGUUUCAAGUUGUUUAAUUUUCUUUUACUAGUAAAAUAAUUUUAUACAUUAACUAUUUAGUCUGACCCACUUAAAUUAUUUUAAUACGAGAUGGUAUAUAUAAAGAAGAUUUUUCUUUAUAAUUGUUUUUUUUUACACAAUUUUUUUCUUAUUAUACUCUUAUUUAAUAUAUCUUAUUUUAUUAAUACAAUGAAAUAUUUUGUCAUUUCAUACGAAUUACUUAAAAAAUGAAAUUUUAAUUUUUAAACUAAUGUUAAGGGACAAUUUUUAUAUGUAAACUAAUUUUCCACUCUUCUCUUAAUUUCUUAUUUUAAGGGAACAAAAUAAAUAAAUAAAGAAAAAACAUAUACUCUCUCUUAUUCGGUUCUCACACCAAAUCUCAUAUAUAAAAUAAAAUAACAUCAAUUUCCAAUUACUCUCUCCACUCCAUUUUAAGCAACUCUAUUUUUUGGAUCUACUAUCAAGUGAAUCAUAACCUUAAUGUAAAUCUCAUCACACUCUUCGAUUCCAAAACCACCAUUCGAAAAAGAGAAAAAACUUGAAAAAUAAAAGAAACUCAAACUAGAAAAGAAAAAAAAAAGAUUGAUUAAUCAAUUCAUAUUUUUCUUUACAUGUUAUUUUUUGUUUUUCAAUUUCAACUCCUCCAAAAUUAUUUCCGUGUAUAUGUUAAAUUUCUAUGAAAAAGUUGAAAAAAAAUGAAAAAUGUAAAUACAAAGUUGAUGUUGCCCGCCUGUAUUUCCGCUAAUAUCUAUAGUAAAUAUCAUAAAUCAAUAACAUUCAUACGUGUGUGAUGUAAAUUUAGCACCAUUAAACUAUUACAAGUAUGAUGAGAAAAAUAAAAUACUAGAUUAAUGAAAUACAUAACGUAAAUUAAUGUUUUCUUUAAUUUAAAACAUGUCAUGGUCACAAUUAGGAUGAUUAACAUGUCACGGUUCAAGUUUACUAAAUUACAAGACAUAUCACGUUUAAAUUUUCAUUAAAAAUAAAAUUUUCCAAUACAAGUUUAUCUAUACAGAUAAUUCUCUAAAUGCUUUUUUAGUGUAUGUAAUUACUUUUCCAUUUUAUUCUUAUAUAAAUAUUUUAUAUUAUUAUUAUAUAAUUAUGGGCAUUCUCUUAAGUGGAGGGACGAUUUUGAAUGGAAAUAUAUGUGGAGAACACUUUUAAAUUGAAAGAUUGAAAGAGAUUGUUUAUUUUCAAAACCAAUUGUAUAGAGAGUGUGUGUCUCUUCAAAUUUUCUUCAAAUUUUGAGAGAGAGAAAAAUAUGAGGAAAAAUAUUGGAGAAGAUAGAAGAGAGUACUGUUCAAGAGAAUAACUCGGCUUAGACAUAUUGAGUCGUAGGAGAAUCGACACAUGUUGGCAUACACCACCACUUCCGACUACAACAUUCGUUUAACAACAUAGGGUUUGGUACAGGCAUGUCACGCCGGCGUCCGCCUUUGCCGUGUGAUUGGUGUCUCUGUCGUGUGGAAAGAGUCACAGAUUUGGGAGCAGGAUUUCUAGAACUUUCAGGUGAAAGAGAGGAUGAAAGUAAUAAAGGAAACUCGCAAACGUUUGGAAGAUUGUUUUAUCGCUUCUUCGUGGGAGAGUCUGCUACCAAUGUUUCUUAUUGUGUUUCAAAUAACCUCUUUCUCUUUACCAUUCCUCUCCAAAUACUGCUCAUUAUUCUUCAUUUUUAUUUAAUUUUAUUGAUAAAUACUUUAACGGUUUAAAUUAACAGGAUUUGAAAAUCAUGAGGAAAGGUAAAGAGCAGAAGCACAACAACCGUCUUAUAUGUUAAAUUUCCCUUUCUUAAUUUUUGCUCAAUUUUAGGUUUUCUCUUCAUAUCUUUCAUUUUCACCCCAUUCAAUUACCACAACAAAAUGUUGACGCAGCAGCGAAAAACUGAGAGCUAAAGGAAUUGAAGUGUUAGGAGUUGUUUGCCAUUUUUCUAAUCCUCAACAAUGGAAGGACUUGAUACACAAAACUCUGCAGGUCAGACCUUCAGAUAAAUGAUCUCUAUCAGUUGAGUUGUUGCGACUUGCUGUUAGGGAUGAGCCUCGUUGUGGGGUACGUGGCGACGAAGGUGGCGUUGGAAGGGUGGAAGGACAAGGAGAAUCUCAUGCUGAUGUGGAUAUGUAGAGUUAUGUGGAUCACAAGAAUGUGUGCGACAUGUAAUUUUUUUGUUUGGAUAUUCUUUUUUAAUGCAAAUACUUUAACACUAAUCAUCAUUUUUAAGUAAUUCUUAUUGAUAGUUUUAAUUUACAGUAUUUUUAUUGUUUUUUUUAGUGUUUCAUUUUUGUAAGAAAAUCAUGCCUUUAUUUUUAUUUUUUUUUCAUUUCGUUGGUAACAAGUACUUUCUUAUUGUAAAGAAGGAUAACCUGCAUUGUUGCCAAGAGUUUUGAACAGUAGAAACAUUUUAACUUUCAAAUCUUGUAAAUUGCUUGCAAUUUGUUUUUAAAGAUUAAACAUGAAAGAAACCCAUGUCGUACUUUCGGCACAAAAUAACUAAGGAAAUCUUUAGUUUAAGAGCUAACUAAGCUAAAUCAUAUUUCAUGUGUAUCUCCACAUUAGACAGAAAACUGUAUUUUCUCACCAUUUUUAGUGUUUAGUUACUAUUUGCAUUCUUUUAUACCCAAUUUUGAUAAUAAAUUUAUAUGUAUAUGCACUUUCUAAUAUGCAAUAUGUGUCAUAUUUGCUAAUUUAUUUGUAGGUAGUGUAAGAUAUGAUUUGUUAUUGUGUCCUGACCAGUCAUCGGUCAUCGACCUAGAGACUGGAGCACCUAUGCUUGGUGAUGGAAGGGGGUCACGAGGUGGACCCCAGACACACUUACCAGAAGAUUGGUUAGUCUUUGGACGUUGGUAACCUAAGCCCGAUGUUGGAAGAUCGAUAUCGGACAUCGCCAGCAGAGAGAGGAGAUCGGACAUCGAUAGUUUGAACGUUGUAGAAGAACACGUAAGGUGGGCUUAAGAGUUACGAUGAGUUAAUAGUCAAAGACAUGAGAUAUGUGAGAAGCCUAAGUCACGAGGAAUCCAUGCACGUGGUGUGUAUGACGGAUGAAGGCACAACACGUGAGGAUAAUCCUGGGAGGUGUUAAAGCCCAUUAGGGUUAGGGUUUUCAGGGAAGCUACAUGCAUGACAGUGAAUACUUAGGACACCCACGAAGCAGAUAACGCUAGAGAAUAGGUGCACAGGUUGGUACCCAAGCGGCCACUCUGAUUAUUCAUUGCACUCCAGUUAAGGAAAGUUUCAUGUGUUAGAUACGCUAAGAUUACCUAAAUAGCGACGCAGAGACAUUUUCCUAGGAACCCUAGAUAAGAGUAACAAUAGAAAGGCAAACCCUAUAGUUUCAGCCUAUAUAAAGGGUGCCCAGAACCCUAGUAAGGUAAGCAAUUUCUAAGACUGAAGCUAAUAUAUACACUUGGUGUUUCUUUGCCCUAAUACUGACUUGAUCGUUGGAGUGCAAACGGCCGCUAGGGCGUCCCUUUGUCUUUGCAGGUGAGAGGUUUAUUGAUUAAGAAGGCACAAUUCUCAGACAAGAUUGAAAGGCCAAAGCAGCUGUUGGAGUCAACCGGUGAACGAAGUGAACUGACAGGAUCAAUUAUCGUAUAUAUUUGUAGUUAAUAAUUAAGGAUAAACAAAAUUAAUUUAAUACAUAUUAUAAAAAUCAAUUACGCUACCUAUAUAUAUAUUUGGUAGAUUAUUGUCAUGAUGUUAUAUCUAUUAUAUAUUAUAGUAAGCUGUAAUUAAUUUUAUCACAAAUUUAUCACGCCUGACAAUAUAUUAAUUAAUUUAAUAAUAAAUACAAUUAAAAGAUUAAAUAUCAUAAUAGUAAAAUAAAAAAUAUUAUUAAAAAAUCAUAAAAUAAAUAUUUGACUAAAUUAAAUAUAUAUUAGAAGUUGCAUACUACACUACUUAAUGUAUACUAGAAAGUGCAGAUAGGAUAUAAAUAUAUNNNNNNNNNNNNNNNNNNNNNNNNNNNNNNNNNNNNNNNNNNNNNNNNNNNNNNNNNNNNNNNNNNNNNNNNNNNNNNNNNNNNNNNNNNNNNNNNNNNNAAAUAAUUAUAAUAAAUAAAUAAUAUAAUAUAAUUAUUAGUUUAUUUAAUAAACAAUAAAAACAACAUAUAUAAUAUAUAUAUAUAUAUAUAUAUAUAAAUAAGAUAGUUUUAUCCUUAAAUAUUUAUUUAAUUUGUAUUUUUUUUGGGUAAGGUGAUCAGAAAUUAUUAGAGUAAUCACUUAAUUCACAUCCACCUUUGAAGCCGACAUCAUACACGAUCUGAACGGUCCAUAAGAAUGAAAUCCAGCGGUAGCCAUCAUCGAUCCGUGUCAUUUACUCUCAUUGGCUCAAUUUCCAUGCAGCCUACUAUAUAAAUCUCGCAACUGCUAAAAUUAUUUACUUUCAAAUAAACUCUCUUCUCAUAUUCCCUAAAGCACUAACCUCCUAUAGGCAAUUCUUGCAUCUUGCAUUUUCUCUUUCCCACAAUUAGAUCACAGUUCAUCAAUGGCAGGUCGAGGCAAAACCCUAGGGUCCAGCGCUGCUAAGAAGGCAACCUCCAGGAGCAGCAAAGCUGGUCUCCAAUUUCCUGUUGGCCGUAUUGCCAGGUUCCUCAAGGCUGGAAAGUAUGCCGAGCGAGUUGGUGCCGGUGCUCCUGUCUAUCUCGCCGCUGUCCUCGAAUAUCUUGCCGCUGAGGUAGUUCCUUGUGUUCUUAUAAUUCUAUAUAUAAAUUAGUACUUGAUGUUGUCAGAUCUAGGGUUUGAAAUAUAGGUUCAUUUCCCCUAAUUAACCGAAGAAUUAUUUAUUUACUUACAAGCAAUUGGAUGAUUUGACUUUGGUUUUUUUUAUUGUGGCUUCAAUUGAUAGUUUGAUUUUGAUGUUUUCAGGUUCUUGAGUUGGCUGGAAACGCUGCCAGAGAUAACAAGAAGACUCGAAUUGUUCCUCGCCACAUUCAAUUGGCAGUGAGGAACGACGAAGAGCUGAGCAAGCUUCUUGGUGAUGUUACCAUUGCUAACGGUGGUGUUAUGCCUAACAUUCACAAUCUUCUACUUCCCAAGAAGGCUUCAUCCAAGGGUGCUGCUGGAGCUGACGACGACUCUUAAAUCGACUCAGUCUUCGU
rnacentral:lncRNA from 1 species